GAAAAGGGGAGCCCCGCGUGAGCUCCUUCCCGGUUCCAGGCCGGGCGGGCGAGCUCGGGCGUCCCCGCCUGGCGCUCUCCCGCGCUGCAUGGCGCUGCAGCUCAGCCUGCCUUGCAAGAGGGAGCUCGAGUCCCGAUCUUGAGCUCGCAGCGCCUCUCACUCCGCAGCGCGCACAGCGAGGCGGCGGCCGGCGGGAGCAGGCGGGCAGGGACGGGCAGCGCGGACACGCAGGACCAUCGGGGGAAAGGACGCGGACGGAGCAGGCCGGGGACGGCCCGGCCUGGUUCCGGCAGAGGCGCUGCACUGGGAGGCCGAUGGGCGGCAGUACCAGGCCGGCAUCAGGGCGAUGGGGACGGUAGAGGGAGACAAAGCCCCGCUCCCCAUCGGCGGCGCCGCGGCGGGUCCCAGCCCGAGCCCCAUCGUGACACCUAGAGGCCGGAGAAAGCGACUGCAAACCCCCCGCGCUGCUUACCUGUCCCGGAGGCGCCUCCGGGCCGCCCCUGCUGCCCCGGGCCCCGCCCCGCUCGGGCCCUGCGGAGCUCCUACUGCCGCUGCCCCGCCGCUAGCGGCCGCCGCCAGCGCCCAGCACCAGCUCGCGGUUUAAUCGUUCCACAGUCGCCUCGGACACAAAAUGGCGGCCGAGAGGAACAGUGCGCCUGCGCCAGCCCGGCAGCCGCGGCCGCCGAAGCCGAGCGAAGGGAGGAGGGAGCGGGAGAAGCGGCCGCGCGGAGCACCAUGGGAGGAGCCGCUGGGCGCCAACUUCAAAUAGAGGACCUAGAAGGGCCGCGGCGGACGUGAGGGCGGGUGGCGCUGUGACGUCACGCGCGGCCUGGGCCGAGGGUGCAGAGCACUUGCACGUUGCAAGCGCGGGCAAAGGGAUUGGUUCCGCGGUGUGGCGCCCUCUUGAGGUGACGUUGGCCCUGUUGCCACCUGCCGGGAAAGGAAAACCUCUGUCAACGGGUAUAAUCAGGAGCAAAUUGGUGCAAACGUGUCCAGAAGCAAAAUAGACGAGCUUGGAUAUGAAGGACAAGGAUGACUUGUUGCCUGUGGUCUUCAGCGUUCCCCUUUCACUUCUGGAAAGAAGCUCAGUCCAUCUUCCUUUUUAUUUCACCACCUGUAAAACCACUGAAAAACUUCAAUGCUGUACUUUGUUGACUUGAGUUACUUACCUAAGGUGUUUUUGACCACUUGAGGUUUCACAACACCUCGCUCCUUCCCAGUUUGGUUAGGGAAACUCCACAGCAGCAGUCACAAAAUGAUGUACACCCAACUCACUUGCUCAAACUUCUUUUUAUUUCAGGCUUAAAGUCAAAAUUAGCCAAACCUCUUGAUAAUUACAUUAUAUAUAUUUAUAUAUCUAUGUAGAUAUACAGAUAAAAUUAUAGCGAUUUUAUAGAAAAGACUUUUUGCUUUUGUCUGCAACCUCCCCCCCCCAAAAAAUGUGUAAAUAAAAAUAAUAAAAUAGCCAAAGAA